GGCGAAGCAAUUAAUUUUAUCUCAAUUAUCCUAAAGCAUACAAAGAUUGUGACAGAAAAUAUCUGAUUCUCUGCUUGAUAAACUUUACCACCAACCUGUUUCUCAAACAACUUCCUCUUUACCAUUGCCAUGCUUAUUAUAAGAAACUAUUUCAUUUAGGCCUUUUCUAUCAGUACAUUGCAAUUUUUUUGUUCUUCAGAAUUUAUAAUCAAUGUCAAAAGAAAUGGGUGUUUCAUUGCUUUCUUCUUCUUCUUCUUCUU
rnacentral:misc_RNA from 1 species